rnacentral:tRNA from 1 species
GGCUUUGUUGUCUAAUGGUAUGAUUCUCGCUUGGGGGUGUGAGAGGUCCCGAGUUCGAUUCUCGGCGGAGCCC